CACAAAGGUGUGACCCUAGUUUGUUUCAAGACUCAGGACAGUUAAUCAAGUCUACUGAAGAUUAUCCGUGAAAAGGUCAAGGGAUACCACCUCGCCUUGCUAUGGUUCUUUUGCUGCUAAUCAUUUUACUAACUGGGUUAUUAAGAUCUGUAUACACAGGCCCAGAGUACGACUUUGAAAAUGGGCAAGAAAAGUGGACAUUCAAAGCAAAGCAC